UACGGAGGGUGCAAACGUUGCUCGGAAUUAUUGGGCGUAAAGGGCUCGUAGGCGGUUUGUCGCGUCGGGGAGUGAAAAUCCACUGGCUUAACUGGUGGCUUGCUUUCGAUACGGGCAGACUGGAGGUAUGCAGGGGAGAACGGAAUUCCUGGUGUAGCGGUGAAAAUGCGCAGAUAUCAGGAAGAACACCCGUGGCGAAAGCGGCUCUCUGGAACGGUACUGACGCUGAGACGCGAAAGCGUGGGGAGCGAACAGG
rnacentral:rRNA from 1 species